CUCCCCCCUCCCCCUUUUGAUCCCCUUCUGCGGGUUGCUGUCCUAUCCAGCGAGGCGGCAGGCUGCCCCGCGUCCGGCAAGGCGGCCGUUGUUUGCCAGGAGUCGGGCAAGCGCAACCCACCCCAUCGGCCUAUGUCCUCAGCCGAGCCGCAGCACAGAGCAGACAGAGAGCAGAGCUGGCAGAGGCCAUCAGGAGGAAGAAGCCACCUGGCGACGUCAUCCGGAUCGUGAGCACCAGGAGCAAGCCGCAGCUCGCCGCCACGUUCCGGUGCUACAAGGAACAACAUGGCAGCGACAUCGAAGAGGUUUAUUAAUUAUCACCUCCUUUUGUGUCUAACUAAUAGUAGCAAUAUACAGUAUAUCUGUCAAGUAUCCAAUUCACGGACACACAAGUGAACUGAAGCGCUUGUUCUUGUUGCUGCUGCUGUUGUUGCAGGACAUGAAGCAGUACAACAGCAGCCAGUUUGCAAGGAUGCUCAAGAUUGCUGUCUGGUGCCUCACAUCUCCUGAAAAGCACUUUUCAGAGGUACGCCACGGCACGCAGAUCAACCUCACCCUGCGCGCCCGCUGGUGGCUGCACUGCAUCACGCGCAGCCGCGAGUGCGACGCCAGGCUCGUUGUGCCCAUGGGGGACCAUGUGAGGCCAUCGGAUUCUGUCAUCGUCGUCGGCGUAUCGCAUAUUUUUUUAAUUUCCUGGUGUUGUUCUGUUGGCUCGUCUCAGUAGGACUCAGUUUGGGGAGGGUUGGCAUGAUUGGUGAUGCCGUAUUAUUGUGUCUGUUUGACUUGAGUUGUUGUACAGUUAGGGUCGCUUGUCGUGUCAGGGUGUCUGACUGCAAUCUUUGGCUUGCCUGAUGCUAAAUUCUAGAUACUGGGUAGGAUGAUACUUCGUGGAGAAACAGUUGUAUACAAAUUCUAUCAUUGUGUUGUAUAGUGGGUAUCUGAUUCAGUAGCAAAUUAUGAAAAGGGAUACAGUCCAUGCUUUA